rnacentral:tRNA from 1 species
CGCGGGGUGGAGCAGCCUGGUAGCUCGUCGGGCUCAUAACCCGAAGGUCGCAGGUUCGAAUCCUGCCCCCGCUACCA